rnacentral:rRNA from 1 species
CACGUAGGGCGCAAGCGUUGUCCGGAAUUAUUGGGCGUAAAGAGCUCGUAGGCGGUCUGUUGCGUCCGCUGUGAAAACUCGGGGCUUAACCCCGAGCCUGCAGUGGAUACGGGCAGACUAGAGGUAGGUAGGGGAGAAUGGAAUUCCCGGUGUAGCGGUGAAAUGCGCAGAUAUCGGGAGGAACACCGGUGGCGAAGGCGGCAUCCUGGACCGGCAUUGACGCUGAGGCGCGAAAGCGUGGGGAGCAAACAGG